ensembl:lncRNA novel transcript, antisense to ACOT6
GCCGCCUGCUGCAGCGGCGUUAGGUGGAUGGUCACCUCCACUAUGAGGGGGUUUUUCAAGGCGGCCCUCCGCAUUCGACUGAGGCGUGGAUCCUUCGAAGCGGCCGGCAUGAGGCUCCACAGGAGCCCCAUGGGCCCCACGCCCGUGAAGUCGCCUCCUAGAGCCAGGUCCCCGGCCAGGUCCAGCCCCCCGCCGCUGUCCACCUCGUAGUGGGCAAGGGAGUGGAAGAGGCGGCCUCGGUGGCUGACGCCCGACACCUGCAGGGUCACCGGCUCCCCCGAGCCCAAGCCUUCUGCUUUCAUAUCCAGGCACUUGUCGGCCAGCCCAGUCUUGGGCGUGACGGUCAGGGUCGCGGCCUUUUGGGAGAAAAAGGACGAUGUGGAUAUCGGCCUCCAGGCCUGGAGGGGGACCCCAGAGGCUCGGAGCGCUGCCCGGACCGCCGGCCACAUGGUCCGGGACUGUCGCGGCUUUGACCUCCGCCAAGGUCGAGGCGGCCUGGCACUGGCGGCCGAGGUUCCGCGCUGAAGAGGAGGGAGGAGGGGGGCCCGGCCUGGCAGGUCGUGGCCCUGUGGGGCAAAACCCUGCAGGGCCACGUGAUGGGACCUGGGCUGGUCCCUGCGGCGCCACUUAGCAACGGGCUGCAAGAAGAGACGACUUCGGAGGGCCCAGGGUCCUUUGAGCUCCUAGAGGUCCCGUGUGGAACCAUCUGGAAGAGGUAGGAUCCCCUCGCGAGUUUACCCCGGACGUGUGGCGAAUAAAGUUAAGCAUUUUUAACGGUGAUCACCAGAACGCACCUUUGGAUGCUGCAGCAUAAAGUCCACGGCUUCUUCAAAGUACUCCAGAUGUACAUCAUUCAGAUCUUCGGGGAGGUCUUCAAAUCUGAAAUAAGCCAGGGCAAGCACAGCAAAACCAUGUCCGGCCAGGAGGCUGGCCCUGUAUUCACAAAGGCCCCUGCUGCUCCCAAACAGAUCAAUGAUCCCAGGAAAGGGCCCCCUGCCUGGAGAACAUCACAAAUCACAGGGAGCUUUAGUUUCUCAAAAGACAGUAAGCAAACAAGUUUUUGAAGCCAAGGAGAUUGGGGGUAGAGAGAUUGGCAGAGAAAGAACAAAAUGUCUUAUUUUCUCAAACAAUAAUGAUAAUAUAGAGGGAUAAAAAACUACAUAUUGGGUACAAUGUAUACUACUCAGGCGACAGGUGCACUAAAAUCUCAGCGUUCAUCACUGUACAGUUCAUCCGUGUAACCCCAAACCACCUGUACACCAAAAGGUAUUGAAAUUAAAAAAAAAAUUUUUUUUUGACAGUCUCA